GUUUAUCCUUCUGAGGAACUCCAGAUCUCAGGAAGGGCAGGCAGGAAGAUGCAAGUACCAAACUCCACCUAACCUUUACGAUAUUCCACUUAGAACCGUGAGUAGAGGAGCUACACCAGCAUCUAUAUGUGAAUUUCAGCCAAGAAUUUUGCCAAGCCUCUCAUGUUCUUUUUGUGGCUAUGAUGACAAAGUAGAACAGGAUAAUAUACCUGCAUAUAAGCUCCAUGAGAAAGUGACCUAGUUUUUAUGUCAUGUACUACUGUCUCCCUGGCACCUAACGUAGGGCCUGACAUUUAGUAGGUGCUCAGCAAGUUUUUGGAUGAAAUUUCAGCCUCUUCGCCAAACACUCAAAUUUACCUUGCCUUCCAGCCACUAUGAAUUACUUGCAGUUCCCCCUAUAUACCAUCCCUCCUCCUUGCCUCCCUCCCUCUGCCUGUAGCCCAGAAUGCCCUUUCCUAUUCCUUCUGUCCUCCUGAUAUACUAUCAUCUUGGAAAGCCAGUUCCCAUGCCAGCUCUCCCAAGCCACGUGCUCCUUCGAGGAUCCUGUAACGCUCUGUUCAGAUAUCGGGUUGACUGCUUUCAUUUUGCCAGUGCUGUGUUUAGUGUAUCUCCCUCAUUAGGCUGUGAUGCUUUCAGGGUAGGACCCUAUCUGGAUCAACUUGGUACCCCUAGUGCAUAUCACAGCACCUGGUUCUGAGUAAAUAUCUGUUGAGUAAUAAAGAUGUAGAGUGGUCCUGAUGAUUCUGGACGUUGAAAACAGCUAAUUUUAAGAGAUAAACAUCAGUAUAUCCUGAGCAUACUGUACUAGAUAUUGUUUUGACUUCUAGCUCUAUCACUUAAUCUUUUUGAGUAUCCAUUUCUUCAUCUGUUAAAUGAAGAAAAUAUUCAUGGGUUCAAUGAAGAUUGAAUUCAUAUGGGUAGACUGUCUAAUCUGGUGUCUAUCAGUCACCCAGCUGACCUUCAUAUAUAGUAGUUUAUUAUUAUGGAUUAUUAUGGUCACUGAAGAUCUUACUGUGUUUGGCCCAGAACUGCAUUUGAUUAAAGAAGCCUCCCCAGAAAAGAGGCAUACACAUUCCAUUUACUCUUUCAGAGACAAUGAAGCACUGACACUCUUAAGGACUAAUUCCCAUCCCAAAAUGGUUAACAUUUCUAAAAUAUUUUGAUGCUAAAAGAGGUGUGCUUCCAUUGUCUGGAAAAUUUGCUUUAUGGAAGAACUUUUUAUUUUCUUUUUGGACAAUGCAGGUCAUUUCUAUUUUAUGUUUUCUGGCUGAAAGGAAUGUUUUCAAAGUCAAAAGGAAAAAGAAGUCCAAGAGCUACAAAAGAGUAGUUUAAGUGAUUUAUGCUUGAUUUCUAAAUGCAACAUGUGUUUAUACAUAAUUUAAAACUUGAAGAAAGCAUGCUUAUACAAUUGUGUGUGACUUUAACAUUUAAUAACUCUGAAUACGUGAUAGAAACAGUCCAUGACACUUGAAAAUAUCAUUUAUGGAACAGCAUACAAUUCAGUGCUCUUAGCCUGGAUAUUACAACCAUAUUUCACAAAGUCUUGCUUGGCUCGAUUUUCUCCAUGCAGUCAAUAUGGUCUUCAGUUGCUGGUAAGUGAUUUUGCAAAUUUCAUUUAUAAUCCUGGCCCUAAGAUUACCUAAGUACUGUUUCUGGCACAUUAACUUACAUAUUAUGCUCCGGUCAUGUGUACCUUCAAAGUUACUGAUAUAACUGACUGCCACAGGGGAUAGUGUCAAUACCUCUGUCUCCACUGGAGUGAUGGCCACCCACACUGGGGAGAACGCUGUUUUUCUAACAAACAGCAGAACUUUAAUCUUACAGGGAUGUGUGAACUAGUUUGACCUUAGUUCCAGGUGUGCCUCAAAAAAAAAUCUCAUUCUUCAUCCUCGUAGCGGGUACUUUAGGUGGCACUGAGGCUGGUGGGGAGAGCACUGGGCUUGGAAUCACACCUGGGUGACAUCCUGCUCUGGUCUUCACUAGCUGUGUGACUUGGCAAAGCCACUUGACAUCUCUGAGCCUCUGAGAUCCUGGCAGACGGGGAGACCAAUGCCCCCUUCACCAGGCUGUGGUGAGAGGACAUGACACUGCUGCCCUGGCACAGAGGUAGGAGCUGAGUAACCCUGCUGAGAGGAUGAAUGCAGGUAACGUGGAGUGAGAACGUUUCACCUGCAGCAGCUGAGGGCAGCGCUUGCCUGUGCCCAUGGGGAGAAUGGCAUGAAAGAUUCACUUGUUGCAUUUUCGCAGGUUUACGUUUGCAAAGCAGGGCAUUCUUCUCCACAUGUUUGAGAGUCAACAUUACCCCAAAACCCAUCGUGGGGAAAUUCUGCAUUCUUUUCCAUCCCCUCCCCUCCAACUAUUCUCGAGGUAAUGUCACACAAAACGAAACGUGCCGUCUGCCAACCAGCAGAGGCGAAGCAGCCAAUACUUUGGACCAGUUUAGCAGCCCUAUUCUACCUUCAGCCUCCCACACCCUGGUCUUCCCCGACACCAGAAUUGUGGUGCAUGGGGGAGGGGGUGGGUGCUGGGCAAGGGUGCAGCCCCUCAUGUUGUUUUAAGCCAGAGGGGAAAAUGUACUGGGAAGAGGCCACGGAAAAAAAGCCUGGUGAGCUCACACCUAGGGACACAGCUGGGGAAAUAAAUUAACUACUUCUGUUGCAUGUCUACCCACAGAACAGGCCUGGGUCUAAAUCUCCUCUCCCUCCAGUAGCUCCGAAGCGGCCCCGAGCUCCCUGAGAGCCAUUUCCACUGACAGGCUCCUCUCCAGGUUCUCCAGCUCCCGGCGCACCUCCUCGAUGAAGCCGCCGUCUUCAUACUCAUCAGGGACGUCUCUGGGCACCAGGUUUGCUCCGUCCUCAUCGCGGCCCCCGACGAAGGUGGGCUUGCACACAUACACCAGGCUGUGGCUGUGGAGGGAGGGACGGGGGCGAGGCCCAGGCCCCCAAACUGAGGCCCUGCCCUCUGCACAAGCCCAGCUCACCUUCACGGCACCUCCUCUAACAUCCUGCCUUAAAGCAGAUGCUGAGGGAGGGUCACCUUUGGAGAAUGUGCUCCAAGGUGAGCUCCCCCACGUCGAGCCACAGGUCUGUCCUCCUGUCACGGACCCUCUCUGGCAGCCCUGAGGACUUGGCGGUCUGAGAGUUUACAGCCCCCUGCCCACCUGGGCCCCCAGGCAGCAGCAGCCCCUGCUGCACCUAUGGGGAGCCCUGGGCCUUGUGGGCCAGGGCCAGGGUUCUGUCUGUUUCCCCAGCCACCCUGGAUCCUGCUGGGAGAGAAGGCAGAGCAGCGGCUGCUGAGUGAGAUGCGCACGGAGAACUUAGCCUCUGAGCAGGCCUGGUGCUUCACGUCUCUCCACGGCCUCUACUCUGCUGGCCACUCUCCCGGCUGCCCUCCUACCUCUCUGACUGCACCUUCUCAGUCUCCUCUGCUCUUUCAUUGUGAUGCGCCUGGGCUCCCUCCACACCCAGUCUUUUUUAACGUCAUCUACUGAGGAGGCUUCAACCCUCACACAGAUGAACCCAAAUCUGUACCCCUGGCCACACCUCCUGAGCCCUAGUCCUAUAGAUCCGCUAUUGGACCCUCCAUCUGGAAGACCCAAGGACACCUCCAACUAAACCUACCUUAAAUUAAAUCCACAUCUUCCCCCCACCCUGCUCCUGCUCCUGGGUCCCCACUGGGUGGCACCUCAUUUGCUCUCAGACCCCGACAGAAAGGGCAAGUGAGACCUCACCUAUGAGGCUGGCAGAGGAGGCCACUGGCACACGGGCAUCGGUCCAAAGCUCCAUCAGGCUCCAGCUCCCAGGUGAUGAGAUCCAAAAGCCGGCUGGCAGGGUCGUGGCAGAGCUCACCCUCCACGGGCAGGGGUGUGCACACAGGAAACAACAGACCUGGAACCAGUUGAGGGUUACCCCUGUACCAGGCAGGCAGGCAGGCACCAAAGGAAGGAGCAGAGAAAUGGGGUGCAGCCCCCCAGCUUCCACCCUGAACCCCAAAGUGGAGGUUGGGAUUGAAGAGGUGGAAUGGUAGGAAACCAGAAUGAUGGCAUGGGCUCAGGAGGGAACAAGCCGGGAGGGCUGGAGCAGUUAGGGAGGACUGCCUGGAAGAGGUGGUCUUGUGCUGGGUUUUGAGGCCAGAGGUAUGGAGAAAUUAAGAGUAGAAAAAGGCACUGAAGUUUUUUUUGGAGGGGCAGGAAUUAUUAUUACAAAAUAUGUUUUCAAAGAAAAAAAAUCUGGAAGGAUAUAGAUAAGACCUUUGCUUAUCUGUAUCUUCCAGUUUUCCUACACUGAAAAUGUAUUAUUUGUAUAAUUAAAAAAUGAAAGUAACUAUGUUUAUAUAUAUAUGGGCUGGUGAGAAAAGUUGGGACAGCAAGAUUCCCAGAUGGGCCAAGGAGUAGAGAGAAAAGGAGGACAGGUAAGCUGGACCCGGCCGAGGUCUUGGAAGGCCAACUGAGGAGUGGAAUUGAAGUGACAGGACAGGAGCAACCGCAGCUCCCAGAGGAAUGAUACCCAGGGAGCCAUGUCCUUGAGGAAAAUUGCUGGGGCAGCAGGUACCAGGUGGACUAGGGCUUGAGGGAGGGGUUAAGGGACGGUUUCAGAAACACCUGUGGAUAGGGAGAGCACCUGAGCAGACCUCACCUGGGAAGGGCAGUGAGAAUGAGAGAUGGGAGUAGAAGGGGGCCACUCGCAGGAAAGCGGACCAGGGCCAGGUGCUACCCUGAGGCCUGGGGAAUGGGUGGAGUGUGAUGGGGAGGGGGUGCCCUCAUCCCACGCAUCUGGGGGUAUUCCUCCCUCCUUGGGCUGAUGCAUCCUGAAGGAAUUUAAUUUCCAGGCAUCACAGGAGGAAAAGAAAAAGAGUGAGAAAGAGAGCUGGUCUUCAGCCCCGGGAAGAAGCUGCGGUGCUGGGACACAUACCAAUGAGCAUCGGGGACCCUGCCUAGGAGGAGGUCCCUGAAAAGGUGUGGUUGGCAUGGACGGGGCCCCAGGAGGCCCAGUGUGCUAGAGCUUGGGACAGGGCUUGUCCUGCCCCCAGAGGGGAGCCCACCCACCUCUCUGGAAGGCACAGCACAGCCCCGGCUGGCAGUCCCUCUGGUUGUCACAGAUGGUCCCGUUGCCGCCUUUGGUGGCCGUUCUGGUGCAGUGACCCCAGACGCACAGCUGGUCUCCACAACACUCGCUGUCCCGGGUGCAGAGCUGCAGCAGGGAGGGAAAACACAGGCGGCUCACGGACCUGAGGGAGCCCAGCCUGUCCCUGCCCCCAAUCCAGAAGCCUGGAGACAGUGUAGGUCGGCUACCCCACAUCCUCCUACUAUAGACAGGAGGAAACCGAGCUCCUUGGUCUGGGGGUGUCUUAGGGAAGUCAAGGGGGUGGAGAUGGGAGCUGGGCAGGAAACAUGACACCUGGGGGAGUCCUACACAGCUUGAGAUUUUAUAAAGGAUGGUUGCAUCUUUUCGGUUCCCCCCCAGACUUGGCUUUGCCUCCUUUUCAUUAGGUCCCUAAUUAACGGUCAGGAAGGAAGAUGGCUUAUGGCCCACAGACGCAGGCAGCGGCGUGAAUCUGAUCAGCUGAUUAAAUUAAGGCCCAAGCCUGGACAGCCACAGGGACCUCAGGAGGGCACUGGGUGCCUUGGACCUGGGGUCGCACGUGUGGAGUGGUGGCACCGAGCAGGCCAGGAGCUGCCUAACCACAGGUGGAAGAAGUUAACUAGAUGCUGAUCACAAGCCCACGGACCCCAGGCAAUUGGAACCAGAAGAGUGAUGAUGUUGACUCCCAGUUACCUUCCCACCCAUCAGAAGAAUGUCCGCAAGCUCAUCACGCACAUGUGCAACUCUCUCCCUCAACCUGUCUUUAAAAACCCUUCCCUGAAAGCCAUCGGGGAGUUGGGAUCUUCUGAGCUUUACUCCUUGCUUGGCCUUGCAACAAACGCUGCACUUUCCUCACCACAACCCAGCAUCAGAAGAUCGGCUUUACUAUGUGCAGGCAAGUGGACCCAAGUUUGAUUCAGUAACAAAAGGAGAGCACACUGCCCACCACCCUGCAAGAUGACCUAAAAUUGCUCUUCUCUGUGUCUCCCCAGCGUCCCACGCAUCUCGGCCCACGAGCCCCCUCCCACGGCUCUGCCCGAAGUUUCCAUCACCACAGCAGUGCAGCAGCUCAGCAAGUAGGGUCUGCCCUCCCAAAAGGAAUCGAUCUUGUUCCUGUUCCCAACCCAGCAACCCUAAAAGGUCGGCUGUUUUUACUGGUGAGAAAACUGAGUCUCAGAGGGGCGGAAGGGCUGCCCAAAUCAGGGGCUGAGCUGGGGGCAGGGCACUCAGUCUGUGUGACCCCAGAGUCCAUAAUAGCCUGAGAAGCCGACAGGUUUUUAAGUAAAGCACUCAGCCACCACGCCUUCCUCGACACAGACUCAACUCAGCCAGUUAAGCCAGAAGCGUCCUGACAUUUCUUCCAAAACAGAAUAGCAAGAGCAUGGGGUGGUGGGGGCAGGAGGGAGGGAGUAGAGGGCCCACAGGUAUCAAGGCCCUUCUCUGAACCCGGCCACAUUUUGAAGCAUUGGGAUGCAAACGUGAAUAGGAGAAGGCCUUUGCCCUCAAAGAAUUUAUCAUUCAAUUAAAAAAAAAAAAAAAGCAACCCAGCAGAAAAGAGAGAAGGGUAUGAACAGACAACUUACAGCCAGUGAAACUGCUUUGUCUCUUCACGCAGAAAAGAUAUUCGAGGGGCUUCCCUGGUGGCGCAGUGGUUGAGAGUCUGCCUGCCAAUGCAUGGGACACGGGUUCGAGCCCUGGUCUGGGAGGAUCCCACAGGCCGCAAAGCAACUGGGCCCGUAAGCAACAACUACUGAGCCUGCGCGUCUGGAGCCUGUGCUCCGCAACAAGAGAGGCCGCGACGGUGAGAGGCCCCCGCUCACCGCAACUAGAGAAAGCCCUCGCACAGAAACAAAGACCCAACACAGCCAUAAAUAAAUAAAUAAAUAAAUAAAUAAAGAUGUUCGAUUUCACCAAUAAUCAAGAAAAUGCAACUUAACAGAGCUGGAUACCACGUUUUCACUUAGAACAGAAACAAGAAGUUUGAUACUAUCUGCAGUAGGCAGAAUACUCCCCCCCUACCCCAAUGUCCACACCCUCAUCCCUGGAAGCUAUGGACAUGUCAUGUUACAUGGCAAGGGGACAUUAAAGUCACAGGUGGAAUUAAGGGUGUUAAUCAGCUGACCUGACAUAAGGAAAGAAGCCUGGAUUUUCCAGGUGCACCCAGUGUAAUGGUAAGGGGCUUUGCACGUGCCAAGGAGCAGCAGGGUCAGUGUCACAGCAAUGCCACAUGCAAAGACCCUCAUCCCCAGUUAUCCAGACCUAACUGGCUUUGACUAUGGAAGGGCCAUGGGCCAAGGAUCAGUAUUUCUCCUAGACCUUCCAGAAGGAGCCAAUACUUUGAUUUCAGUCCAAUGAGACUCCUGUUGGACUUCUGAUUUAUGGAAAUGUACGAUAAUAAAUUCCUGUUUUUUUAAACCACUAAAUAUAUGGUAAGCUGUUACAGCAGCAAUAGGAAACUAAUACAUUGCAUAAUAUCCCAAGUUGGUAGGGAUUUGAGAAACUGAGCAUUGCCAGAUGGCAGUUAGGGGGUAAUUAAAGUUGAAGUAGAUGUUCUUUGCAGGCAACUCAUCAGCAUCUAUCAAAAAUGUAAAUGCAUAGAUCCUUUGACCCAGUAAUUCCCCUUCCAGGUGGCUAUCCUCAGAAACACUCAUCCAUAUGUGCAAAUAUCCAAGUACAGGGAUGUUUAAGGCUAUACAUCAGUAUAAUAUUUGUAAUCCAGAAAUAAUGGAAAUGCCCAAUAAGAGGGGACUGAUUAAAUUAUUGUACAAUCAUUUCGUGGGAAAAUGGCACCAGGCAGACAUUAAAAAGAAUGAGGUAGUUCUUUGCACUGUGAUGUUUACAAUCCAUCAGUAAGUAAAACAAGCAAGUGAAAGAAGCAUGUAAUCUCACUCCUGUAGAGCAGAAUAACAAUACGUGUGACACGCGCCUGGACCCCGCACAGCGCCUGGCAUGUGGGGGCACCUGAUGGAUACCGCUUAGUGGAUGAAACCACUUGUAUAUUACUGGAGCAAACAGGCUAACAAAAUGCUGACCGUUAGCAUUGAUCUGGGAACCAAAGCAAGAAAAUAUGCACAUUCCAUUAACUUGGCUUCUCAUUCCCCAAGAAUCCUGUAGACUUGGAAUUUUUACUACAUAUUCCCCUUUCCAGAUCUUUAAUUUAAAAGAUAUGAGCUGUGGGGGCAGGGGCGGACUUCCCUGGUGGUCCAGGGGCUAAGAGCCCACGUUCCCAGUGCAGGGGGCCCGGGUUCGAUCCCUGGUCAGGGAACUAGAUCCCACACGCUGCAGCUAAGGGUUCACAUGCCGCAACUAAAGAUCCCACAUGCUGCAACUAAAGAUCCCGCAAUGAAAAUCCCACAUGCCGCAACUAAGACCCAGGGCAGCCAAAUAAAUUAAAUUAAAAAAAAAAA